GAUGAACGCUGGCGGCGUGCCUAAUACAUGCAAGUCGAGCGAACAGACGAGGAGCUUGCUCCUCUGACGUUAGCGGCGGACGGGUGAGUAACACGUGGAUAACCUACCUAUAAGACUGGGAUAACUUCGGGAAACCGGCGCUAAUACCGGAUAAUAUAUUGAACCGCAUGGUUCAAUAGUGAAAUACGGUUUUGCUGUCACUUAUAGAUGGAUCCGCGCCGCAUUAGCUAGUUGGUAAGGUAACGGCUUACCAAGGCGACGAUGCGUAGCCGACCUGAGAGGGUGAUAGGCCACACUGGAACUGAGACACGGUCCAGACUCCUACGGGAGGCAGCAGUAGGGAAUGUUCCGCAAAGGGCGAAAGCCUGACGGAGCAACGGCGCGUGAGUGAUGAAGGUCUUCGGAUCGUAAAACUCUGUUAUUAGGGAAGAACAAAUGUGGAAGUAACUAUGCACGUAUUGACGGUAACUAAUCAGAAAGCCACGGCUAACUACGUG
rnacentral:rRNA from 1 species